UGCACGCCCACCCCCAAUCCUUCCCCCCAACACGGGGGGUGGUGGGGGGCAAAAACAACCCGGGGCGCUGACGUCACCCAGGCGGAGGCGCCUACCGCUGUACCCGUAGGUACAUAAACUACAGGCUGAGCCCGGUGUGCAUACUUGUAACCUCAACUGUUCCGGUGGCCGAACCAGGAGAAUCACAAGUGUGAGACUGGCCUGCUUAGACUACAGAGUGACUUCAAGGCUAAAUUGAGCAACUUAAUGAGAUUGGCUCUCAAAAGAGUGAAAAAGAGCUGGGCAUGCAGCUUAGAAUCAAAGUAUUUCUCCAGCGUGUGUGAGCCUGAGGUUCAAUCCCCAGGACUGGGAAACAAAAACAAAGAAAUAAGAAAAGCUAACUGACUUCAUUUUCAUUUUGAGAGCAUCACUGCCCAUCACAGGAAAACAGUUCAUACAUCUGAAGAUGCCAAGAGGAACAAGUGAGUGGCAGUCUCCACAUCUCAGGGACAAACUUCUGGUUUGGGGAAUAGUUGUGCAUCGAGUGGGACUUCUGCUCCAGAUUUCCACAGGGAUAUCUCCUAUGUAUCCACUUUUUUUGGCUGGCGGGGGGCACUUCUGAGACAGGGUUUCUCUGUGGCUUUGGAGCCUGUUCUAGAACUAGCUCUUGUAGACCAGGCUGGUCUCGAACUCACAGAGAUCUGCCUGCCUCUGCCUCCCCAGUGCUGGGAUUAAAGGCAUUCACCACCACUGCCCAGCCAUAUAUCCACUUUUCAUUUGAAGAUUCCUGCAUGUUGGCAGACUAGUGUUACAGUAAGUCUUUACUCCAUCCGCCCCGCCUCCAUGUGGGCACCCAGAAUAACACACAGAGUCCUAUAUUAGUUUACAAUGCUGCUGGCCAAUUGACUAGGAUUUCUUAUAUGCUAGCUCAGUCUUAAUUAUCAGAAAUCUAUAUAUUUUAUAAGACUUAUCUUAUCGAG
rnacentral:lncRNA from 1 species